CUGUGUGGGUCCUGAUGCCCCAGUAUAGUGACGGGGGACACUACACUGUAAAAAGGCGCUGUCCUUCGGAUGAGACGUAAAACCGAGGUCCUGACUCUCUGUGGUCGUUAAAAAUCCCAGGGUGUAGAGGUGUAACCCCAGUGUCCUGGCCAAAUCUCCCCCUGGCCUUUACCCCUCAUGGCCUCCUAAUAACCCCCCUCUCUGAACUGGCUCCAUCAAUCUGCUCUCCUGUGAGGAAUUAUUAGCGGGAGGUGUGUCACAGGGAAUGGUGUCCCCCCUGCACACUUCCUGCCGGGGGGACAGGUCAGCGCGUGCGGCCGGGAGGGGCCCGAGCCGUGCGCACUGGCCGAUGGGAUGCAGGAACUGCGUGCGGAAUCGCUGGGAGAGGGGCGAUCUCUGCUGUUGAGGGGGAUUUUUUUUUUUCCGGCUGAAAGCCACCAGCGGUUUCCUCCGUCGGACCCGGACGGGUGCUGCUGCAAAGGGGAGAUGGAAAACGCAGAUAUUUCUGCGAGCGAGUGAGCAGCGGUCCUGCUGAAAUGGAAAUACCCAGAUUCCCCGCACACAGGAAGUAAAGCAGGUAUCGCCCUCCUCCUCUGUCUGCUUCUCUUCUCCUCUUCCUCUUAUUGCACCUGGUUUGUUCUCUUCCCCCUCGCUCUUGUUCCUCUUCGCCUGCCCGAUAUUCUCCGGGGGGGUGAAAGUGGUGUGUACCGGGCCGGAGGGGGGAGGGUCAGACGUUUGCAUUCCCGAUGGAGCCGGGAUGGGAAUAUAGUGUCCGGAGGGGCUCAGGCCACCGGGGCGUUGAGGAA
rnacentral:lncRNA from 1 species